rnacentral:rRNA from 1 species
GACGAACGCUGGCGGCGUGCUUAACACAUGCAAGUCGAACGCGCCUGUCCUCUGGGUUUCUGGGGGGUGGGUGAGUGGCGAACGGGUGAGUAACACGUGAGUAACCUGCCCCCUUCUUCGGGAUAACGGUCUGAAAGGGCUGCUAAUACCGGGUAUUCACUGGUCUCCGCAUGGGGUCUGGUGGAAAGGCUUUUUUCUGGUGGGGGAUGGGGUCGCGGCCUAUCAGCUGGUUGGUGGGGUGAUGGCCCACCAAGGCUUUGACGGGUAGCCGGCCUGAGAGGGUGCCCGGUAACAUUGGGACGGAGAUACGGCCCAGACUCCGACGGGAGGCAGCAGUGGGGACAAUUGCACAAUGGGCGCAAGCCUGAUGCAGCGACGGCGCGUGAGGGAUGGAGGCCGUCGGGUUGUGAACCUCUUUCGCAAGUGGUGAAGCCGCGACGUGGGUCGUGGUGAGGGUAGUGGGUAAAGAAGCGCCGGCUAACUACGUG